CUGAUGUCCCUAUCAUCUCUUCUAGGACUCAAUGUAUCGCUUCUUACAUGACUCAGAAAGAAUUUCCAAGUCAAACAAGGGAGAGGGUGUGCUAUCCUUCCAAGUGAUGUUUUUCUGUUUUUCUGACCCCUGCAGAGUGCCCUGGGGGGCCCUGGUGGAGCUGUCAAUGACACAGUGCAGAUGUGCUUGGAGGAGUCGGAGAAAGCCAAUAACACAGCACACGGCCCGGCUGCUUCUGAAACAGAACACCAGGAGCUGCUGUGGCUGUGAUCCCACCAGUGCAAAACUGAUCUGAAGAUGAAGCCUCUACCCCACCACCAGGUUUCCACACCCAUUGCCAAGCUUCACCCUGCCUUUCCAGCCUUUAAUUAUGACUUACUUAACUUCUCUUUGAAUUGGGACCCUGUCACUCACAUGCCAUGAAUCCUAGGGAAGUAUUCAAUUACCUCUCCAAAAGUCUUUGUUGGCCUUGUACUGUGCGUUUGCCUUUUUCUUUCCAGAGGAGGAGCUGGCAAACAAUGGACCACGG
rnacentral:lncRNA from 1 species